GCUAUGCCAUGAGGCGAUGGUCCUCACGUGAGGAUAAUAGGGAACGCGGUGAGGGACGGUGUCCUCAAUCCGCGGCUGCCCCCGCAACUGUAAGCGGUGAGCGAAGCGCCAAAGGCCACUGGGCAACCGGGAAGGCGGCGUGGAGCUUGGACCCGCGAGCCAGGAGACCUGCCAUCAGCCGUGGUCACGC
rnacentral:ncRNA from 2 species